rnacentral:rRNA from 1 species
GACGAACGCUGGCGGCGUGCUUAACACAUGCAAGUCGAACGGAAAGGCCCUGCUUUUGUGGGGUGCUCGAGUGGCGAACGGGUGAGUAACACGGGAGUAACCUGCCCUUGACUUUGGGAUAACUUCAGGAAACUGGGGCUAAUACCGGAUAGGAGCUCCUGCUGCAUGGUGGGGGUUGGAAAGUUUCGGCGGUUGGGGAUGGACUCGCGGCUUAUCAGCUUGUUGGUGGGGUAGUGGCUUACCAAGGCUUUGACGGGUAGCCGGCCUGAGAGGGUGACCGGCCACAUUGGGACUGAGAUACGGACCAGACUCCUACGGGAGGCAGCAGUGGGGAAUAUUGCACAAUGGGCGGAAGCCUGAUGAAGAAACGCCGCGUGCGGGAUGACGGCCUUCGGGUUGUAAACCGCUUUCGCCUGUGACGAAGCGUGAGUGACGGUAAUGGGUAAAGAAGCACCGGCUAACUACGUG